GUUCCAAGACAAGGAUAUUAGUGUUGCAUUCAGAAGCCCUAAUUUGGUCCAUCCAAAAGACCAAAUUCCAAGAGAGGAAAAGACAAGCAUUGUGUAAAGAUUACUUGCACAGAUUGUAACAAUUCAUAAUUAUGUUGGGGAAACUGGCAAAACUUAAAUGAGCGAUUAAAAGAACACAAAAGAGCCCUUUGAUUGAGCUACCCAUCCCAUUUAGCUUUAGGUGAACACGCCCUCAACUCCAGGACAUAAUAUUGGAUGGGAUGAUGCCCUUAUUAUUGACUUUGAAAGCAACUUCUGGUCAAGAAAGGUGAAAGAGUAGAUAUGGAUUAAGAGGAUUAAGCCUACACUAAACAGGGACUCUGGAUACUUAUUGUCACCUAUCUUUGGUCCAGUGCUCGCAAGAUACCAUGCAGGCGGCGCAGCUAAGAAAACGUGUGACUGGAAACUUAGCUUGAGAAAGUCCACAUAAGUGGACGGAAGCUUGCGCAACAAAACCCAAGAUGAACACUUUUAAGAUGUCUAUCAUUCUCAUCGUGUCUCUCUGUCUCCUGAUGAGCAUAGGACACUCUGAAGCACAGUCGACCUCAGCUGAGUCGACCUCAGCUGAGUCUGUGGCCUCAGCUGAGUCGACCUCAGCAGAGUCUGCCGCCUCAGCAGAGUCUGCCGCCUCAGCAGCAUCUGUCGCCUCAGCAGCGUCUGCUGACUCCGGUCGCAAGAAGCGAUCUGAAUCAGACUCCGACUCGGCAGAAGCGAUCUAGUUCAGAGGAGGAGUCUGAUGGCGCUGCCUCAUCACAAUCUGCUUCUUCCAAGUAUGAACCAAGUCCGACUACGGACGUUCUGUGGCGACGUCUAGACGAUGAUUUAUGAUUCAAAUUCAACAGAUUACAAGUAGAUGUUAAACAACUCUUUGUGUGUCACUCUCAUAAUAUCCAUGUUCUAUACUUUAAAUCUGGACGUGUAAUUUUAUCUUUCGUUAAUUUGACUAUUUCAAGUGCAAAUUAUAAAAAAAAAAACAUAUAUGUCAUAAAGCAGUUGGUCUUGUAUUCAAUUAUGGCUGGAAAUUGGUCAUUAUGCAAGGCUUUUGUAAGACAGUUCAGAUCACACUUUCUUCCCGAUUAGCACUCGAGGCACACACGUGAGUGUGUCGAUCAGCACUCUUGGCAGAUGAAAGGUUAUUCAAUACGAUUAUUGACAUAAUUCUAUUUAUAUCUAGCUAUAGACAGAUAAUGACAUAUUAUAACUACUAAUUUCACUGUAAAAUUAUAUUAUUAUUCAAAUUAAACAGUUAAAAUGUGUGUAAUCUGAAUUGGCAGUGCCUUCUUUACAUGUUAACGAUUGAUUUUUCUUAUACAAAUAAUUACAGUGCAGAAUUUUUAAUGUGUUUUUAAAAAUUCUAGAUAGAUUUGUCUUUACAUGUUAUCAGGAUACUACAUGGUCGACUGUUUUCCCAAUCAAAUCAUAUUCGGUUUAAGUGUUCUUUGUUUUUUAUGUAAGCACAGACAUUCGAAAGUAAUAGUGUUGCAGAAUGCUUUCUGCUUUCCUCUUCUUUUCCCCUUUUUCUCAUUUUUCCUUUCCUGUUUUACAUUCCCUUCUUUAUCAUCAUUGAUCUGUUGUUAAUGUUCCCUGCUCUUAAAAUACAAUACAAAUGUGUGUAUCAUAAUCAUGAUUAAAUCGAAGCUCAAAACCACA